UACAGAGGGGGCAAGCGUUGUUCGGAAUUACUGGGCGUAAAGAGCGCGCAGGCGGCUGGUCAAGUCCGAUGUGAAAGCUCCCGGCUUAACUGGGAAAUUGCAUCGGAAACUGAUCGGCUGGAAGGUGGGAGAGGGUAGCGGAAUUCCCGGUGUAGUGGUGAAAUGCGUAGAUAUCGGGAGGAACACCAGUGGCGAAAGCGGCUACCUGGCCCAUUCUUGACGCUGAGGCGCGAAAGCUAGGGGAGCGAACGGG
rnacentral:rRNA from 1 species